CAGCAGCCGCGGGAAUACGAAGGGUGCAAGCGUUAAUCGGAAUUACUGGGCGUAAAGCGCGCGUAGGUGGUUUGGUAAGAUGGAUGUGAAAUCCCCGGGCUCAACCUGGGAACUGCAUCCAUAACUGCCUGACUAGAGUACGGUAGAGGGUGGUGGAAUUUCCUGUGUAGCGGUGAAAUGCGUAGAUAUAGGAAGGAACACCAGUGGCGAAGGCGACCACCUGGACUGAUACUGACACUGAGGUGCGAAAGCGUGGGGAGCAAACAGGAUUAGAUACCCGCGUAGUCCCUGUCUCUUAUAC
rnacentral:rRNA from 1 species